ensembl:lncRNA
UGGGCAGGGACGUGGCCCAGCGAAGGGGUCCCCAUCGGAUCCCCACCGGGCUGUCUUCUCCGGGCUUCGACACGCUGCAGCCUCAACAACCACCACACCGUCCUUUUAGUAAGUUUCCACACCGGGCCAUGGGCGGAUCAAGACCGCCCCUCUAAGUGGCUGCGAGCAUAUACGGAAUAAAGCACACUCUGCGGACUUUCAUCUUCGAUAAGGGGAUGCAAAAGCGGGGGACAGAGCCUGCCAGCGCGCCCCCACGGGGGACAGGCCCGCACCGACCGAGCAGAUGACCCCGUCCAGAUGAGACUGGUCCUUUGGCAGAAACAUCAUUUAGUGUUGUUCUUGAAGAAGAACAUAUAAAACCCUUUACUAAUGCAGCUUAUGUUUAUAUUAGGAGCUAUGAUCAUAGAAACAUACAGGUACAAACACACACAUGCAAACUGUGUUCUGUGCUCUAAUCAUUUAAGAAAAAGAGAUUUAAGCCAGAGAAAAAGGAAAACAGAGACUUGGGUACAGAGAGAAUAUUUUAAGCUGAUCUAAUGAAGUGGAGUACUUAUUUUCAUACCAUUUUAACAUGCUUAUGCUAAAGAUCUUAUGGAGUUGGGAUGUAUUUCUGUGACAACAGGCACACUUCAGGGUGCGACCUUUGCAUACUUGCUCACCUGACUACGUGAAAUUAGCAUGGGCUCAGUGGAUGGAUGAGAAUCCCAAGCUGCUCACCUGGACACUGAUAGGAUUUCUGGUGAAGGACAAGAGCUUCCAUGACUGCAGUGUAACCCAGACCAUCACAGCGGUGUUUGUUUAUCAUUCAAGACUCCAAGUCUUAAUAAUAUAAACAUCAAAAUGAUCCCAGCACAGAAAGAAUUAAGACUCCAUCUACUUCCACCUUCCUCUUAGAAAUACCAAUAUUAAUAUUAUAGAAAAUCAAAGAAAGCUAGAUUGAAAUCCAAAUAGUGAAUUUGCAUCACCUUUUCUUCACUUUUGGGGGGAAAUAAUUAUUUUUACAACAUGUUUAUUGAACAUAUUUGGCUUAUAUUUACAAAAGGGGUUUCCCAGUGGGUGCUAGUAGUAAGAACCCACCUGCCGAUGCAGGAGACAUGACAUGCAGUUUGAUCCCUGGGUCAGGAAGAUCCCCUGGAGAAGGACAGGGCAAUCUGCUCCAGUAUUCUUGCCUGGAGAAUCCCAUGGACAGAGGAGCCUGAUGGGCUACACUCCGUAGGUCAAAAAGAGUCAAACACAACUGAAGUGACUUAACAUACAUGUACAUAUUUACAAAACAAAAACACUGCUUUCAGGGGCUAGAUUUAAAAAAGAAAAAAGAUGCAC